rnacentral:lncRNA from 1 species
UUAAAGUGUGGUUAAGGUGGAAUAAAUAGGUGGGGCCCACAGAAAAUUUGAAAUUUGAAAAAAAAUUCAAAAAUUCCGUCUGCCUGACACGGGCUGUGUCAACUGACACGGCCGCCCGUGUCAGGCUACUGUCCAUCACCAUGUUUUCUUUUUUCCUUCAGUGUUCCUGACAUGGCUGCCCGUGUCAGGCCACUGUAUAUCACCAAUUUUGCUCAAUCCUUCAGUGUUCCUGACACGGGUGGUCGUGUCAGGCCACUGUUUUUU